GGACGAACGCUGGCGGCGUGCCUAAUACAUGCAAGUCGAGCGGAYCUCUUCGGAGRUCAGCGGCGGACGGGUGAGUAACACGUGGGCAACCUGCCUGUAAGACUGGGAUAACUCCGGGAAACCGGAGCUAAUACCGGAUACUAUGUCAAACCGCAUGGUUUGACAUUCAAAGACGGUUUCGGCUGUCACUUACAGAUGGGCCCGCGGCGCAUUAGCUAGUUGGUGAGGUAAUGGCUCACCAAGGCGACGAUGCGUAGCCGACCUGAGAGGGUGAUCGGCCACACUGGGACUGAGACACGGCCCAGACUCCUACGGGAGGCAGCAGUAGGGAAUCUUCCGCAAUGGACGAAAGUCUGACGGAGCAACGCCGCGUGAGUGAUGAAGGUUUUCGGAUCGUAAAACUCUGUUGUCAGGGAAGAACAAGUGCCGGAGUAACUGCCGGCGCCUUGACGGUACCUGACCAGAAAGCCACGGCUAACUAC
rnacentral:rRNA from 3 species